rnacentral:rRNA from 1 species
UACGAAGGGGGCUAGCGUUGCUCGGAAUCACUGGGCGUAAAGCGCACGUAGGCGGACUCUUAAGUCAGGGGUGAAAUCCUGGAGCUCAACUCCAGAACUGCCUUUGAUACUGAGAGCCUUGAGUUCGGGAGAGGUGAGUGGAACUGCGAGUGUAGAGGUGAAAUUCGUAGAUAUUCGCAAGAACACCAGUGGCGAAGGCGGCUUCCUGGACCAAUACUGACGCUGAGGUGCGAAAGCGUGGGGAGCAAACAGG